rnacentral:tRNA from 1 species
GCAGAGGUGGUUCAGAGGUAGAAUUCUUGCCUUCUAUGCAGGAGACCUAGGCUUGAUUCCUGGCCGAUGUA